rnacentral:tRNA from 1 species
GCGCACGUGGCGAAAUUGGUAGACGCACUGUCUUCAGGUGGCAGCGCCAUUAGGUGUGGAAGUUCGAGUCUUCUCGUGCGCA